rnacentral:rRNA from 1 species
AUACGUAGGUGGCGAGCGUUGUCCGGAAUUACUGGGCGUAAAGGAUGCGUAGGUGGAUAUUUAAGUGGGAUGUGAAAUCCCCGGGCUCAACCCGGGAACUGCAUUCCAAACUGGGUAUCUAGAGUGCAGGAGAGGAAAGCGGAAUUCCUAGUGUAGCGGUGAAAUGCGUAGAUAUUAGGAGGAACACCAGUGGCGAAGGCGGCUUUCUGGACUGUAACUGACACUGAGGCAUGAAAGCCUGGGUAGCAAACAGGAUUAGAUACCCUGGUAGUCCACGCCGUAAACGAUGGGUACUAGGUGUAGGAGGUAUCGACCCCUUCUGUGCCGUCGUUAACACAAUAAGUACCCCGCCUGGGGAGUACGGUCGCAAGACUAAAACUCAAAUGAAUUGACGGGG